UACGAAGGGGGCGAGCGUUGUUCGGAAUUACUGGGCGUAAAGGGCGCGCAGGCGGCCUUAGAAGUCAGAUGUGAAAGCCCCGGGCUCAACCUGGGAAUGGCAUUUGAUACUCUGAGGCUGGAGUACGGGAGAGGAGAGUGGAAUUCCCAGUAUAGAGGUGAAAUUCGUAGAUAUUGGGAAGAACACCGGUGGCGAAGGCGGCUCUCUGGACCGUAACUGACGCUGAGGCGCGAAAGCGUGGGGAGCAAACAGG
rnacentral:rRNA from 1 species